rnacentral:rRNA from 1 species
UAAUACGUAGGGACCAAGCGUUGUUCGGAUUUACUGGGCGUAAAGGGCGCGUAGGCGGCAUUGUUAGUCACUUGUGAAAUCUCCGGGCUUAACUCGGAACGGCCAAGUGAUACUGCAGUGCUAGAGUGCGGAAGGGGCAAUCGGAAUUCUUGGUGUAGCGGUGAAAUGCGUAGAUAUCAAGAGGAACACCUGAGGUGA